AUUGAACGCUGGCGGCAGGCUUAACACAUGCAAGUCGAACGAGGUGUUGGGGCUUGCUCUAACACCUAGUGGCGAACGGGUGAGUAAUACUUGGGGAUCUGCCUCGUAGCGGGGGAUAACGUUUCGAAAGGAACGCUAAUACCGCAUACGUCCUACGGGAGAAAGCAGGGGAUCUUCGGACCUUGCACUAUGAGAUGAGCCCAAGCGAGAUUAGCUAGUUGGUAAGGUAAAGGCUUACCAAGGCGACAAUCUCUAGCUGGUCUGAGAGGAUGAUCAGCCACGCUGGAACUGAGACACGGUCCAAACUCCUACGGGAGGCAGCAGUGGGGAAUAUUGGACAAUGGGCGAAAGCCUGAUCCAGCCAUGCCGCGUGUGUGAAGAAGGCCUUAGGGUUGUAAAGCACUUUAAGCGAGGAGGAAUGGCUGAGGGUUAAUAACCUUCAGCAGUGACGUUACUCGCAAAAUAAGCACCGGCUAACUCUGUG
rnacentral:rRNA from 1 species